CCUUGACACCCUACCAGUUCUCAGAGGACAGGGAAGGGUGGCAGUGACUGGAAACUGCUUAAAUUCCUAGCGCUGUUCAACAGGAAGUUGGAGAAAAGGUCUAAAGGUCUAAUGGCCUCAUAAUUAAGGGCUUCUUCUACUCCACAAGUUUAUAAUCAGGAGUUGUCCUGCAGGAAGAAAAGCAAAGGACACAACAAAUGAGAAAGUCACUUUUGCGUUGAGAAUUGGCUAGCCUAGAGGAUGGAAGGCAGAAGACCUUUCCAACACGUUAAGAGCCAAAAGACUACCUUUUAGUGUUUGUUUUGAUUAUAUUUGCCUGUAACCCAGCAACUGGGCCCAGAUGCCAGGAGCCCAAAGAGAACACUGCUGAUGACUGGUGUAUGGAAAGAAAAAGAAUUCCUUUUGUUUUCUUACUUUUAUGGUUCUUCUCAAGAUAUACAGAAAAAGGAGAAUACAAAGCAGGUCCUUCUUGAUCAUCUUUGUAACCAGAUGAAUUAAUCCAAGUUCUUACGAUUUCCACACCCCACCCACCACCAAGGGUCUUCGUUGGAUAGGCCAGUUGGAUGUGGUGGAAAUUGCAUGAAGAGGAAUUGAGUAGGUCUGGAUCGUCAAUAACUUGGUAUGUAAUCCUGGGCGAAUCCCUUUUCCUUGAGAUCACUCUCUCAUCUGGAAUACAUCAGUGGUUUUCAAAUUGUGCUCCAGCAGAACACGGCUGAUCCAGAAGCUAGACCAAGGAACACUGGUGGUCUCUAUACAAUUCACAGAAAACUGAAGUGGAAUAAAAUGUCCCCCCUUUGCUGUCGCUUAGUUAUUUCUAUUUAUUAUAACAUUUCCUGCACUGAAUAGAUUUUUCUGAGCAUACACAACUGUUUCUUCAAUUUGAGAUACCAAUAAACAGC
rnacentral:lncRNA from 1 species